rnacentral:rRNA from 1 species
AGUUGGGAAUCUUGGACAAUGGGCGAAAGCCUGAUCCAGCCAUGCCGCGUGAGUGAUGAAGGCCCUAGGGUUGUAAAGCUCUUUUGCCAGGGAAGAUAAUGACUGUACCUGGAGAAUAAGCCCCGGCUAACUUCGUGCCAGCAGCCGCGGUAAUACGAAGGGGGCUAGCGUUGUUCGGAAUUACUGGGCGUAAAGCGUGCGCAGGCGGUUUCUCAAGUCAGAGGUGAAAGCCCGGAGCUCAACUCCGGAAUUGCCUUUGAAACUGUGAAGCUAGAGUGCGGGAGAGGUGAGUGGAAUUCCCAGUGUAGAGGUGAAAUUCGUAGAUAUUGGGAAGAACACCGGUGGCGAAGGCGGCUCACUGGCCCGUUUCUGACGCUCAUGCACGACAGCGUGGGGAUCAAA